AUGUCAUCAGUGUUUGAACCUGACAAGAACUGAAGAUCAACAAUUUAUUCUACACAAAAGGAGUGUGCUCGAAGCUCGUCUUUUCUAUGAGGACUAUAAACAUCCCAUCAGUCGUCAUUCCAGUGAGAGCAGACAUUGUACAAAAAACGCUGAGAGGUGCUGAGAUGCUAUUUCUGCGACAGCAAGAAAGUUGGUAAUAUGUCCGACGUGACAGGACAAACAAGAAGGUGGAAGGCAAGGUGUUUCAUUACCACAGGGCACAUGAUUCUUCUCAGUGCAUCAUUUGAAUUUAAAGGCGACGGAUUGUUUUUGAACAUAUUCUCUGCGAGGAAUGUCAAGCUGGCACGUAAACUGGAUUUUGGAGUGAUAUGCUUGGUGAUUAUUAACAUUAUUAUGAAGUGAUUGCGCUCGUAG